rnacentral:rRNA from 1 species
AACAGGGAUUGCCCUAGUAACGGCGAGUGAAGCGGCAACAGCUCAAAUUUGAAAUCUGGCCUCGGCCCGAGUUGUAAUUUGCAGAGGAUGUUUCUGGCGCGGUGCCUUCCGAGUUCCCUGGAACGGGACGCCACAGAGGGUGAGAGCCCCGUAUGGUUGGACACCAAGCCUGUGUGAAACUCCUUCGACGAGUCGAGUAGUUUGGGAAUGCUGCUCAAAAUGGGAGGUAAAUCUCUUCUAAAGCUAAAUACCGGCCAGAGACCGAUAGCGCACAAGUAGAGUGAUCGAAAGAUGAAAAGCACCUUGAAAAGGGGGUUAAACAGUACGUGAAAUUGUUGAAAGGGAAGCGCUUGUGACCAGACUUGCGCCGGGCGGCUCAUCCGGGGUUCUCCCCGGUGCACUCCGCCCGGCUCAGGCCAGCAUCGGUUCUUGUUGGGGGAUAAGAACGGCAGGAAUGUGGCCCUCCCUCGGGAGGGUGUUAUAGCCUGCCGUACGAUACCCUGACGGGGACCGAGGUUCGCGCUCCGCAAGGAUGCUGGCGUAAUGGUCAUCAGCGACCCGUCUUGAAACACGGACCAAGGAGUCGUCCAUUAGAGCGAGCGUUUGGGUGUCAAACCCGCACGCGUAAUGAAAGU